ACUAUUUGUAAGCUAUUAUAGACUCAGAUGGAUGCGAGGGAGAUGGGGAGAGAGAGAGAGAGCACUCGAGAAUAUAUAUGGCGAAGGAGAAAGAUUCAGUUUAAAUCAAGUAUUGCUUUGAGAAAUGAGGCAAGAAUGCUACUCAACUCAAAUCUUAUUUUCAUUUGUUUCGGAAUUCACCACAAUUAUGCAUGGAGCAUGCUCUGCACAUUGUGACUGCCUAUCAUCUACUGGACCUCCUGAGUUCGAGGAUCAAUGUGAAUCAGCAAUGCAAGAAGUUCUGUUUCUCGCUUCAUGGUUUGACUCGACGGAAAUAGCUGAGACUAGGAAGCUAAUAUUACAUCUGAAAUGAAGCACUGCGGUGGUUGAAGGUGCCUGUUCAAGUUAUUAUGUUUUAUGUGCUGCUUUGCUUACUGAGUAAUCACCCUCGUGCACCUUUUGCCUUGUAUAUAGCGUAGCCCAAUUCUGUGUUUUUUAAUGUAUUUUCAUGCCCAUAUUUGGACUUCAUUUUUUUUUAAGGCAUGUACUGCAAAAGCUCCAUAAACUUUGGUCAUUGGUGCCGGUGGAGUUGGUGAAAGUGACUGCAGAAGUAGCGAAAUUUCACUUGAUAAACAAAUGCUGGAACGUGUUACCGCUGCUACUCGUCGUGAAGUAUCUGUACUUUGUGGCUGCCUAUGUUGCCACUCCUCGUAAAGAAUCUUUUACUUUAUGGCUGAUGCAAUCCCAUGCUCUUAUCCGUGAAUGAUCUCAGCAUUUUGAGCUUUUAAUGCAUGGACCAUGGAGCAACCUAUCUAUCAGGCAACAGCCUGAAAUAUCAUCGACCAUUAGUCUCAGCUGUCUAGAAAAUUCAGUAUCUACUCAGAGCAGUUAAGAAUGCUGAUUUCUUUAACCGCUGGGUAUGAGCUGUUCGUGACCCAGUUGCCGUGUUGUAGAGGUAUAUAUAGCAACUUAACUAAAUAGCAUCAGCUUAAAUUCCUUAGGUAAUUUCAAACGGGGAUGUUUAAACUUGUUAGCUCUGGAUCCCUCUAUAUAUUAACUGUGGAGGUUUGAAAUGAUACAUGGCUCAUCCUCGACAGGCACAGACAGCUGCUGGUUGGUGUGGCUGGGAGGGGCAACAGGCCCUUCAUUUAUGACAAGGGACCCCAUCGCAUGUUCAUAUUUCUCAGGGUAGAUUCAUAUACGAUCAGACCACAUUGCUUGAUGGUGGCUAAAAUAUAGCAGGUGUACGUCCUUGUUGCAGAGAUACCAAGCAACCUCUCUAAACUUAAACCGGUCCAAGCAAACAGCAUUAAGUGGUUGGUUCUUGGAAGUGGUCAAAACACAUAAUUUGAUAAAACCACAUUCCUUGUCUGCAAGGUAUUGUGUUUUUAAAAUGUCAUAACUGCCCAUCUGUGAUAGAGACACCCUUGCCCUCGUUGUAUUGUAUUUUUCUAGGAUGGGCAAGGUUUCUUUCUCUGUGUGAUUGACCUAAUCUGGUGAUGACGCUACAAAAGUGGAGCCUUUUGGUGUGUGGUCUACCAUGACGGGCUCCCCACGUGAUUGACAAUUUGAAGCCCAAGUCAGCACUCCACAACCCAAUCCAGCCUCCCCUCCCUCUCUCUCGAAAAUAAAAUAUACAUAGAAAAAGUGACGUGAAGGACUCCAACAGCCUUAGAUGAUGCUGAACCAUUGUCACAAGAAACUCUGGUCGGCUUAUUUUUUAGAUUUUUCUUGCUUAGCUCUCUAAUUAUUUAACUAAGCAUUGUUUCUCCCUUCCUCUCCCUGUUAUGGCACAUAAUGCCGUCCUUUGUCUGUCCGGUGUCCACCUGUCGCUCAUUUGGAGUGUCUCUGGCCCACCCAUUUAGGCAUCUAUGAUAUCAAUUUGUGUGUGCUAUGACAACCUACCUCUCAUGAUUUGUCUUGCUCCAUAUUUUACAAUGGCAUGAGUGUGUUAUCGACAAGGAUUGGAUGGCUAUUAUCGUUUCAGAGGCUGUAUUUGUUUUUUAAGUAAUCGAGUCAACUGUAACCAGGUCUUUGGCCUGUGCAUGCAUGACGUGUACGAAACAGCCUUUUUGAUUGAGGAUCGUUACAGGUAUAAUACACAUCACAGGGCUAGCAAGCAAAUCAGAGUGGCUGCGUGGCUGGAAAUAGCAGGAGAAUCUCGUUGUUCAAAAACUGUUCUAUAUUGUCCAGCAAAUUCAUCUACAGGGAACCUUAAUUUGAUGGCUUGGGAGGAGGAUUUGAGUUUAUGAACCUGUGUUGAGAGGUGUAUUGCUGCCCAGCUGGACUUUACCUGGGUCUGCUUUAUUAUCCAUACUAACUUCUGUAAAUGGAAUCACAAUUAUGAAUUCAAUAAGCUCUUAGGGUUAGCUUUUGGUGACCUGGGACCACAUCUGAACUUCAAAUUUUUCCACUGCCCUAGAAUCCAUAGAGCUUUUAGUCUCUGUACUUUCACCUACUGGUCUUAUAAAUUCAAAAUUUAGUUAACCCUGUUUCCCAACACCAACAAACCUACUUUGUUUCUCGUGUAGUUGGUGAGGAUAUGACAAAUUACAGCAAAUGUCGUAGAAAAAUUUCAAGAAUGUCUGUUUCCUUGGACAAUGUUGCAUCCCAGUUUUCAAAA